UUUAACUGGGGCGGUUGCCUCCUAAAGUGUAACGGAGGCGCCCAAAGGUUCCCUCAGCCUGGUUGGCAAUCAGGUGGUGAGUGUAAGUGCACAAGGGAGCUUGACUGUGAGACUGACAGGUCGAGCAGGGACGAAAGUCGGGACUAGUGAUCCGGCACCUACUUGUGGAAGUGGUGUCGCUCAACGGAUAAAAGGUACCCCGGGGAUAACAGGCUGAUCUUCCCCAAGAGUCCAUAUCGACGGGAUGGUUUUGGCACCUCGAUGUCGGCUCGUCGCAUCCUGGGGCUGGAGUAGGUCCCAAGGGUUGGGCUGUUCGCCCAUUUAAAGCGGCACGCGAGCUGGGUUUUAGAACGUCGUGAGACAGUUCGGUCUCUAUCCGCGCGCGCGUUGAAACUUGAAGAAGGCUGUCCCUAGUACGAGAGGACCGGGACGGACGUACCUCUAGUGUGCCAGUUGUCACGCCAGUGGCAGGGCUGGU
rnacentral:rRNA from 1 species